GCCUCUGAUCGCUGGUCUGGUGGUCGGGGUCCUGCUGGUUCUCUUCGCUGUUAUUCUGGUCGUCUGCAUCAUCAAAAGGAAGAGAGCAGCAGGUCGGGAUCAGACAGCCGUGGGACGGGACGAGGAACAACAGCACUCUGAGAACAUCUACAGCAACAACUUUCUGCCACUUGCUGAGCAGCAGGGACCCAGCAGCGCUGUGGAGGAAGUCAGCUACGCCUCGG